AGCGAACGCUGGCGGCAGGCUUAACACAUGCAAGUCGAGCGGGCCCUUCGGGGUCAGCGGCAGACGGGUGAGUAACACGUGGGAACGUACCCUUUGGUUCGGAAUAACGCUGGGAAACUAGCGCUAAUACCGGAUACGCCCUUUUGGGGAAAGGCUUGCUGCCGCAGGAUCGGCCCGCGGCUGAUUAGCUAGUUGGUGGGGUAAUGGCCUCCCAAGGCGACGAUCAGUAGCUGGUCUGAGAGGAUGAUCGGCCACACUGGGACUGAGACACGGCCCAGACUCCGACGGGAGGCAGCAGUGGGGAAUAGUAGACAAGGGGCGCAAGCCUGAUCCAGCCAUGCCGCGUGGGUGAUGAAGGCCUGAGGGUUGUAAAGCGCUGUUGUCCGGGACGAUAAUGACGGUACCGGAAGAAUAAGCCCCGGCUAACUUCGUG
rnacentral:rRNA from 1 species